AACUUAACUCCACGCCUGUUUGUUUGCACGGAAGUGGGGUGGAAGUGGGAAGGGAGAAGUAAUUUUCGGUGAAAACAGACCACUUUCAUUGUUUGGUUCACCGUAAUUUUAUUACGCCCGAAAGUUUAGUUCACCCAAAAUAAUGAAAUUAACUUUCCCCUCCCAUGGGGCGAAGUCAAUUUCGGUGAGGUGAAAAGAGGCAAGAGUAGGAAUUAAUAUGUUAGGGUUACUCUCUUCUCUAUCCUUUCCUCUCCCGAGUCCCAGACCCAACUCCAAAUAUAUUCAAUUGUGGAAGUAAUUAAAUUUUUUAUUUUGAUUGUAUGUCUAAAAUAUGAUCAAAUUUGGUUAGGUAAGUUUUAAUAUAUUUUUUGUUUAAUUUAUAUAUUUAGAAAAUGAUGAAAAAUGAAUUUGUUAAAUGUUAAUAAUUUUUAAACUUUAGAAUUUUAUUCGUUGUAUUAUUAUAAUUUAUAUGCAAACAAAUAAUCAAAUGUUUAAAAAUUUUAUUUUACAAUUAUACAUAUAUAUAAUUAUAUACAUAUAUAAUUAUAUUAAUUUUUAUUUAUUAUAAUUUAUUAUUCACAAAGUUACAAAAUAGACAAUGAUAUCACUUCGGAGGUUAAGUAUACCGAGGAUGAAGAGUUACACUUUUUACGUCAUCUAUUUCUAAUGAAACAAACAACAAAACUCGCAGAACUGCACUUCCACAGUUAGAAACAAACAGCAGAAGUGAAAUAAUUUUCACCCCAACUUCACUUCAACCCAAAGUCUACUUCCACCCCAAGUCUACUUACGUUAAAACAAACAUGCCCUAAAUAGGGCCAAAGUUAAUUCCACUAUGAGGUCCUGCUUUCAAUUUAAGAUUAAUUUUAUAUAGGUUCCUAUAAAUAUAGUUAAUUAUAAAUAUAUUCCUACAAAGUUCAACUUUUAUAUAUUGCUCCUGCAAAAGUUCUAAUAUUUUCAAAUAUAUCCGUGCCGUUAGGAUCCGCUAGAAAAAAUUAGUUAACCAUAGGUAAAAUACUUAACCCUAAUUAGUUAAUGAGGUAAGUUGACCUUUUUACCCCUCUUUUAAUUAAUAGUUGGGACUGAAGGAACAUAUUUGUGAUGGCUAAAAGGUCAUUUCACUUAUAAAAUAAAUAAUAUUUUAAUGGUAAUAAAUCAAAGGAAUAUAUUUGAAAAUAUUAGAAUUUUGUAGAGGCAAUAUAUGAAAGUUGAACUAUAUAGGAACAUAUUUGUAAUUUGCUAUAUUUAUAGAGAUCGGUACGAAAUUAACGCUUCAAUU
rnacentral:lncRNA from 1 species